GGGCAGAGCAGAUGGCUCGAGACUGCUCGAUGGCACCAGAUUAAGGUAACCAAGUGCGCCUUCAUCAUCUUCCUGGGAUGCGAUGACCUCACUCCCUGUCCAGCAGCAGCACUGUCUCUCUGGAGCAUGGGAAAACCCUUCUCUAGAACAUGCUGGAUUCAUGGUUGCACUUUCCACCUUUCCAAGUUUGGCCACAUCUGUGUGUGCUUCCACAUGGCUCAAAUGUAGAAGGGUAAAUUACAGCCUUGUGAAAUGGUCGAUGCUACUCACAAAAUGCUGUCAAACUGAAUUACAGGAGCCUUUGAUGGAGAUAAUAAAGAUCAAAUAACAUUGCCUUCCUUUUCCAGAUGGCAUUUCUUUCCAAGAUUUAGUUUCAAUCAAUACCAUUAUUGCUACCCAUGCAUUUUUGUCAUUCCAACAUCAACAAAAAAUUCUUGUCUUUCUAACUUGUGAGAUAACUGUUUUAGCCAUCAGAAUAUUUUUUUAAUGUAUACUUUUUAGUAGAAAGGUAUUAAUUUUGUAAAUGCUAUGCUUUACCCAACAGAGUCCUUGCUCUUGGAUGUAAGGACGGUGAGUUGUACAAAUAUUUUGCAGCAUCACUGAGCUAGGACUAAAACACUAACACUUUGAGAGAGAAUUAGAUGUUCCAGUUUUUCAGCAUAUUCUUCUUCCUACACAGCAUCACAGUAGCAUGAAUCAUUUUAGAAAUAAUCUGUGAUUAACAAAAUCAUGUCCAAGGCCAAUCCUAGACAAUCCAGGGGAGACUCAGAAGCUCAGUUUUUUCAGGAAUCUCCCAUGAUGUCCCACCAGGUUGCCUCACCAAAUUCUCAGUCAUCAAGCACUUGACGUCUCCAGCUUAUAUUAACCAUGUUUAUCAUUAUUCACAUGAUGUCCUUCCCUUUAAAUUGUAGUCCCCAUUAGAGCAAAGACUACAACUUAUCCAAGCCAUCUAUCUCCCUAGGACCUUGCAGAGUCCCUGGCAUAUACCAAUUGUUUAAUUAAUAUAUAUUGAAUGGAUACAUGAUCAAAGACAGGGUUUUCAUUUCCAGUUUGGGUCACUAUUUUAACUCCUUUGGUUCUAGUCUAGAACAGGCCUACUUGGGCAACAAACAGCCCCAAGGUAAGGAAGAGAGAGAGAUGGAGCAAAUUGAAAUCUCUAUAGGGGUCAGGCAGGGCUGGUCAUAGGGUGUAGGAUGAGCCCUGAAAAAAGAGGACGAUUGAGUUCGGUUCAUUGUAGCCAUGUGACAAAUCCAGAUCUUAUUUUGUUUUUCCCAAAGAGAAGAGAUUUCUUAAUUUUCACAUGAAGUUACCAGACUGGCAACACUUUC
rnacentral:lncRNA from 1 species